CCAACCAACCACCCGCCUUGAGGAGGAGGUGGAGGAAGAUCAACGACUCACUACGUCGCCACCCCGUGUCCUCGCUGGCAAAUCGGGAGCCGUGGUAUUGAAGAGGCUCCUGGAAGCAAGGUAAUCUCCUCUCUUAUCCCCUCCCCUAGUCAGUUCGUGAGCUGCUGCUCCUCACGUCUCUACUUCGAAGUGACGACGUUGCUCCAGUCGAAGUGUCGAGAGGCCUCUCCAACUCCCAUAGACUGCGUCCUUGAGAAUUGAGAUACACCACCUGCCAGCCAGCUUGCCAUAUCUCGCUUCUCUUUGUUUUCUCUCUCGAUCUGCUCGGUUCUGGGCUCUGCAUCCUCUUGUGUGUUUCUGCCAGAUGCUCUACUGUCUCAUCGGGCUGGUGAGGUCGCCGGUGUCGGCCAUGCUGCCGCAGCUCAGGUCACGACUCUUCGUUACCUGGGGCGUCCUCUCGAGCUUUCCCCGAGACCAGGACAUACGUUCUAGAGAGCUCCUUCAUCAUCAGUUGGUCCAUCACGAGUUGUGGUGCAGGGCUGCAUGCUACAUUUGUGACUGAGAGGGCAACGCCAUGGAGGCUGAGGAGGAGACCAGAGAGGCACGACAUCGAGGUGGAGGGAGCCAUGAUCGCCGGUAUUGACAACAUGGUCACUUUAUCUGAUUGGUUGGCUUGGUCACUCUCUCGCUUCUCCAAUCGUGCCCCCGAUGGCAUGGGAGACGAUAUGAACUACAAGGUUUCAUCUGGACAAGGGAGGCGAUUUGGAAGUGUCGUAGACGAUGUUGUAGGUGCUAGGGUUCGGCUUUGCUUGCACUUAGAAAUCUUUUUCAUACAUUGGACUAAGAUCAAAUGCCAAUCAUGCAUGACCAUAGUUGGGUAGUUUCAACGUCUUCAGACUUGAUGUGUCUAUGCAGAUGAAUUGGACAUUUCCUCGUGCGAAAUCAAGCGCCAUUGUCUUUUCAUCCGUUCAACCAACCCUGCCAUCAAGUAUUAUGUUUGUGAGAUGAAAAGACACUUGUCGCUCCCGGGCAAAGGAUGGUAAGGACUUAAAAUAUGCAUCGUCUUACAAAUGGUAAUGACUUAAAAUAUGCAUCAUCUUAUAAAUACUAUCGUAAUACCCGACCAUGACCGAUGCAUGUUUCCUUUUCCAGUAUUUCUCCUACCUCUUUACAAAAGACAAUAUCAAGGACCAUCUUAAUGAACCAGUUAAGGACAUGAUGAUCAGUGCUAAGAGACAAGUUUGAAUGAUGAUGUGUAUGGAUACGAGGGCCAUAAUAACAACCAAUUCGUCAGACUUUGUCAAGGCGGCAGGGAUCAAAGAAUAUCAGUUAUGCGUCUUUGCCUUCAAGAUUAAAAGGGGGAAACCAUUGACAUUAUCUGUACGUUUUAAAAGGUUAUGGUACAAAAUCACAAGUGCAUUGUCUAUGCAAAAACCAUUUUGUUGUCACCUAUCUCACGAACUAUUCGCAUUAGGUUCAUAUGGAAUGGUACCCAUGGAGUUAAUCGACAAGGUAGUUGAACCAAGCUAUA